CCGUUGUACACACCGCCCGUCACACCAUGGAAGUUGGUUGCACCAGAAGUAGGUAGCCUAACCGCAAGGAGGGCGAUUACCACGGCAGGGUUCGUGACUGGGGUG
rnacentral:rRNA from 1 species